GAUGAACGCUGGCGGCGUGCCUAAUACAUGCAAGUCGAGCGAACAGACGAGAGUGCUUGCACUCCCUGACGUUAGCGGCGGCCGGGUGAGUAACACGUGGGUAACCUACCUAUAAGACUGGGAUAACUUCGGGAAACCGGAGCUAAUACCGGAUAAUAUUUAGCUUCGCAUGAAGCAAUAGUGAAAGACGGUUCUGCUGUCACUUAUAGAUGGACCCGCGGUGUAUUAGCUAGUUGGUGAGGUAACGGCUCACCAAGGCAACGAUACAUAGCCGACCUGAGAGGGUGAUCGGCCACACUGGGACUGAGACACGGCCCAGACUCCUACGGGAGGCAGCAGUAGGGAAUCUUCCGCAAUGGACGAAAGUCUGACGGAGCAAUGCCGCGUGAGUGAAGAAGGUUUUCGGAUCGUAAAACUCUGUUGUAAGGGAAGAACAAGUACGUUAGUAACUGAACGUACCUUGACGGUACCUUACCAGAAAGCCACGGCUAACUACGUG
rnacentral:rRNA from 1 species